GACGUAGGAGGCGAGCGUUGUCCGGAUUCAUUGGGCGUAAAGGGCGCGUAGGCGGGAUGGCAAGUCGGUCGUGAAAUCCCUCGGCUCAACCGAGGAACGUCGAUCGAUACUGCUGUUCUUGAGGAUUGCAGAGGAGACUGGAAUUCCCGGUGUAGCGGUGAAAUGUGUAGAGAUCGGGAGGAACACCGGUGGCGAAGGCGGGUCUCUGGGCAAUUCCUGACGCUGAGGCGCGAAAGCGUGGGGAGCGAACAGG
rnacentral:rRNA from 1 species